rnacentral:rRNA from 1 species
AGAGUUUGAUCAUGGCUCAGGACGAACGCUGGCGGCAUGCCUAAUACAUGCAAGUCGAGCGAACAGACGAAGUGCUUGCACUUCUGACGUUAGCGGCGAACGGGUGAGUAACACGUAAGGAAUCUACCUAUAAGCGGGGGAUAACAUUCGGAAACGGGUGCUAAUACCGCAUAAUAUCUUCUUCCGCAUGGAAGAAGACUGAAAGACGGCUCUGCUGUCACUUAUAGAUGACCUUGCGGUGCAUUAGUUAGUUGGUGGGGUAAUGGCCUACCAAGACGAUGAUGCAUAGCCGACCUGAGAGUGUGAUCGGCCACAUUGGGACUGAGACACGGCCCAAACUCCUACGGGAGGCAGCAGUAGGGAAUCUUCCGCAAUGGGCGAAAGCCUGACGGAGCAAUGCCGCGUGAGUGAAGAAGGCCUUCGGGUCGUAAAACUCUGUUAUAAGAGAAGAACAAAUUGUAGAGUGACUGCUACAGUCUUGACGGUAUCUUAUCAGAAAGCCACGGCUAACUACGUGCCAGCAGCCGCGGUAAUACGUAGGUGGCAAGCGUUGUCCGGAUUUAUUGGGCGUAAAGGGAGCGCAGGUGGUUUCUUAAGUCUGAUGUGAAAGCCCACGGCUUAACCGUGGAGGGUCAUUGGAAACUGGGAAACUUGAGUACAGAAGAGGAAUGUGGAACUCCAUGUGUAGCGGUGGAAUGCGUAGAUAUAUGGAAGAACACCAGUGGCGAAGGCGACAUUCUGGUCUGUUACUGACACUGAGGCUCGAAAGCGUGGGGAGCAAACAGGAUUAGAUACCCUGGUAGUCC